rnacentral:rRNA from 1 species
UACGAAGGAUGCAAGCGUUAUCCGGAUUUAUUGGGUUUAAAGGGUGCGUAGGCGGACUUAUAAGUCAGUGGUGAAAUCUCGUUGCUUAACAACGAACGUGCCAUUGAUACUGUAGGUCUUGAGUACAGAUGCCGUUGGCGGAAUGUGUCAUGUAGCGGUGAAAUGCAUAGAUAUGACACAGAACACCGAUUGCGAAGGUAGCUGACGAAACUGUAACUGACGCUGAGGCACGAAAGCGUGGGGAUCAAACAGG